GACAAGAUGUGGGGAUCCUGGGACAAAACAGACUCUGGAACAUCGUAUUGGGUACGUGGACAAGAUCAAAGGAAGGAAAUCAUCACAAUCGAGAAGAAGAAAGGUGACCAUGCAGUGGAUGGACAGAAUCAGAAGUGGCGUUCCACAGGACUGUUCCCCGUAUACUUUUUCACAAAGCAAAAUGGCGGAUGAAGAAAUAGCCAGUACCGCAAUUGGAUCAAAUGAACAAAAGAGCCUAACAGACAG